UACGAAGGGGACUAGCGUUGUUCGGAAUCACUGGGCGUAAAGCGCACGUAGGCGGAUUUGUAAGUCAGGGGGUGAAAAUCCCGGGGGCUCAACCUCGGAACUGCCUUUGAUACUGCGAAUCUUGAGUCCGAUAGAGGUGGGUGGAAUUCCUAGUGUAGAGGUGAAAUUCGUAGAUAUUAGGAAGAACACCAGUGGCGAAGGCGGCUCACUGGUCCGGUACUGACGCUGAGGUGCGAAAAGCGUGGGGAGCAAACAGG
rnacentral:rRNA from 1 species